GUGCUCGCUUCAGCAGCACAUAUACUGAAAUUGGAACACCGUACAGAUAUAAGAUGAGCGUGGCCCCUGCAAAAGGAUGACACACAAAUUUUUGAAGUGUUCCAUAUUCUU